rnacentral:lncRNA from 1 species
CUCACCACCACUGCAACUCCGCCACUGCAACUCCCUCCUCCAUCAACAUCAGUCGAUUAAGGUGGUGGCAUCGAUAGGUGCGUUGACGGCGGAGAAAGAUGAUGAUGGUGGUGGUUCAGAUGGUGGCUGUGGUGACUGUGGUGGUUCCAAUGGUAGCUGUUGGUGGUUGCUGGCUGGGCAUUUUGGUCAUUUUACAUGGUGUUAACGGUGAAAACUAA